CCAGGACAGAAACAGCCGAGCUCUCCGCCCAGGGAGCGCUGAGGAGUUUAAUUCAAGAUGAAAUGUGUUCUUGUUUGUGUACAAUUAAUUUUCCUCCCAAAUGAAGGGUUUUAUCUGUCAGUCGAGUGUUUGAAUAGCAACCGCGUAAUUAAGGUAGCAUGUGCCUCUGCAGUUGCAAAACAGGCUGUUUGUGUGAACUUGUUGGGGAAGCAAACAUAGCUUGGGGUGCUUCCUGGGUCUAAGAAGAAAAAAGAGAAGAGGCAAACACCUCCAAAGAGACUGGGCUCCUGCAGCGAUGACGUCAUCUGGACAAUGUGAGCAGGUCGGUCCUGAAUGAAGGGGCCCCCGGAACCCUGCUCUGCUCAGGGCAGCACAGGAGAGAACAGAGGUCGUACCCAGGGACUUUAAGAGCAGGAUCACGCCUACAGGGGCCAGAUGUAACAGAUCUGAGUCCUGUGUCCACAUCUCCUGGGGUUGCGUCUCUCAAGAUCCAGGUAGCAGAUGGGUCAGAGAUGGACACAGAGCGAGCAAAGCAGACUGAGGUGGCUGAGGGUUUGCUGACAGCUGGAGCCUCACAAGAGGAUGGGACCCACUUUUCGAAGCUGCUUCCUGAGGUGUACCUGGCCAGAAUCACAUGUCUAACCUCUUUGAAUUACCUGGGCACCCUAGCACUCCUGAGGCAAAUCGUUUCAGCACCCAGGACAGAUCCUCCCACACGGAAGGUCUUAAGGUCAAGGUGCCUGGCAGGUAAACAACAACUGAAACAAUUUCAAGUUCAUGGACAUCUUCUGCAAUCAGCAUCAACCACCCCAUCAAGGAAACGAGACCUUGAUAUUGUUGGAGAAGAAAACAAAUAGAGGGCUUCGAUGCAGAUGUGAAUCCAUGCCCAGGUGUUCCUGAGAACCAGCAUAGACUGAGAAAGAGAAGGCAGGGCUGAUAUUCCAGAUAAUCCUGGUUAAAAAGACACUUUUUGGAACCAUCAUAUCCAGGCACAGCUUGUAGAUCCCGCCAUAGGUUUUGCAUCCUGUCUUGUGAAUGAACCCCAAGGUCCAUGCCAACACUUAGUGGAAAAAGCAUCAUUGAAAUUCCUUGAGCCAAAGAGGAUGUGUUCAUGUCCCACCCCUGCCACCACCUGUGGGCUGGACAGACCAUCUUCCCUCCCUGGGUCUCAGUUUCCUCAUCUACAAACUACACGCUCCUUUUGACGUUCUUCGGUGUUGCCCGGUGCAAUAUAAAGGAGAUGGAAAUGAGAGAACCUGCUUCUGCUGGUGUUCCAAGAAGAGAACCUUGAUCUCAGAACAUCCAUAUGUAUCCUGGGGAGAAUGAAGCCUUAAAUUCACAAAUGAGUGGGAUAGGAAUCAUAGUCUUUAAUGGAACGUCAAAUUUUUAACUGUCCAAAAAUUCCAAAGAAAGGACUCUGAAUUAUGUAUGGAACCUUUAUGUUUUUUUUCUUUUUUGCAAUUGUAUUACUCAUUUGUUCGUGGGACACUUGGCUGAGCCAUUGUAAUUCACAGCUCGUUGGCUAAGUGCAGACACCAAUAACCAGGUGUUUUCUUCCUCUCAAACAGAACCCCGAUUUUGCUCAGAUGUUGGGAAGAAAUGUGCUCUCAAGCACCAGAGGAUGAAUUGUAGUAUGUCUAAGUCAAUCUCAUUUCCCUUUCCAGUGAUUGGUUUGGGGGGACAUCCUGAAUCAUGUUUAGUUGAUGCAAUAUAAGUUGGGAGUCUUUUUGGUGGGUGGGUUCUGGGUUCCCUUAUUGAAAGAGACAUGUGAGAAGUAACUCUCUCUUUCGUAUUUUCUUUGCUAUUGUUAUGAGGGAGAGGAUGAGAAGUCAGGCAAUGUUGCAGCCACCUUGUAUGAGGGCACAAGCCUGAGGACACAGUCAGCUCACCGAGGAAGGGAAAGCAGAAACGGGAGACCACCACGUCCUUGCUGUUGUGGAGGGCCUCUCUGGGGUAUAAACCUGCCCCUGGACGUGCAGACAUUUUCAUUCUGAGAAGGACUACCUCUCUCCAAAUUCACACCCCCAUUAGCAGGAGCCAACAGGUUAUCUAGGAGCACCUUGGCCUCCAGAUAAGACCACCCCUUUCCUGGCCCACACCUCCACUGACAAAAGCCAGUAGGAAGACCCACAACUCUGUGUGACCCUAGAAAUAUCUCUACUCUCUUUUCCCUAAAUACACAAGCUCACCCCAUAUUCCAUCCUGAGACCUUCAGAAUUAAUCGCAUGAUACUUUCUGUUCCCAUUAAAGCCGGUUUCUUCAUGCAGCCAGGACUCCUGGGGCAUCCUUUGUCCCCUGGACUCCCGUUGUCACGUGACUCAGUGGGAAAUGAGGCUGAAACCCUACUUCUCUGCUUUGUUUUUCUCCACUGCCUCAUUCCUGUCUGCCUCACAGUCUUCUCCAGUGACCAGGAUGACGGAACUUUGGUCCAGGUCUCCUAAAGAAGAGCCUGAGGCCAACCUGGAGAUGUAAUGCUUUCGUGGAAGGUGCAGCCCCAGGACAUCAAGAGCGAGGAAGAGGGAAGCGAGGUGUGGGAGACUGAGCAGCAAUCACCGAGCCGGUGGCUGCCUCACAGAGACGCGGCAGUCACCUUAUCCCAUGGACUCUCUGCAGGCCAGCUGUGCAGAGGUCUGCUCCUCAAGGGAGUCCAUAGAGGAAGGCAAGGAGAGGCCAGUCACUGCCGGCCCCUCUUCUCCCCUGUCCCUUGGUGGUCAGAGGUCCGUCUCCAGGGCCGUACUGUACCCAUCACUGCAGCUUCCUUCGCCUGGCUCCUCCCACAGUGGUUGAGGAAACCAGAUCCCACACUGGUUAUGGCCCCUUAUCUGAGUCCAGAAUUGGUGAAAGGAUCAAGAAACUUGGGGUGCUGGUCUCAGGCAAUGUGUAGUGUAAGCCCUGAAAUGAAGGUGCCCUAUUAAUACUGCCUGGACGCCUUUGAGCUUCCUGGGGCCUCAAAGGCCUAACCACGAGUCCCCCUACUCUAUCAGAUACGCCCUCCACCCAGGGGGAAAUCUUUCCACCUGGCUAUUUCCCCUAUCAGAGGCUAUUUCCUCUACCUGAUCUUCAACCUAACCGUUUUCACUUUCCCAAGAGCCUGUGGAAUUAUCCAAACAAGACAAUCACAUCAUCCCAUGGGACCUAGGGGCCACCUCAUCCUUUUGUUACUACCAAGCCUGCCUACUACUCCCCCUGAUGGCUCAUUCUGUUCCCUAGUGCAGCCCCCAUGUGGAUAUGCAUGAGGUGAAGUGUAUGACACCCCGGGCUUUGAGUAUAUGUGACUAAUAAACCA